ACAUUUUGCAUUAUGAAAUUGUUUCCAACAAAUAUCUUAAAUUUUUGUUACACUAAAAGUUUGUCGUAUAUCAGAAACUUUUUAUAAAACAUGGAGUUUCUUUUUAGGUAGAAUUGCGAAGGUAUUGGAAGGUUCUAUAGUGCAUCUAUCGACACCUUAUCGACUUGCUUCACAUACAAUUCAAGCAGAAAGAACAUUCACCUGUUAAAAGAUAUACGAUAGUAUCAUAUUAUGCUGACCCUAUUUCCACGCUAGAAAUUCUUUUGGUUAACCAUCCAGUCGAAAUAUGAUACGUACUUUGCUUCGAUUGCUGACAGUCGCUGAAAUGCCAAUAGUUUCACCAGAAAUUGUGUCGCGCAAUGUCAGAAACCUUGAACUCGAUAAAACAAGAUGGAGGAGUGGAGAACAGACACUGACAGUCUUUGCAUUAUUCUGCAAGUAUUUUAUAUGAAAUAAUGCACUGUACUGUUGUUAUAUCUUGUAAUACAGUCUUCGUUAUUAUUUAAAUUACCGUAAAUAUUCCUUGUUUUCCUUUUUUUAUUUAAUCACAGUGUUUUAUUACUAAACGUGCAGAAGUUGGAAUUUCAUCAAGGAACUGUUUCAAGACACUGAAUGAAGAUUACUUUAAUUACUAAUAAGCCACCUUAAAUUAUAAAGCCAAUACAAUGUAGAUUGUCAUUUUAUAAGUUUUAGUUAAAAAAUGACUUAUUAAUGAAACGUUAAGAAGUAUUGGUUUGAAUAAAAGAACAGUAGAAGUACUACAAGACAAAUUUUCAUGACAAAUGAUUGGAAAGAACGUGUACUGAAAUUUUGAUGCAGGAAACGAAAGAAAGUAACAUAAUUUCCGUGGACCAUGGGUCAUGAUCGCUUUCUACACAGGUCGUUGACCAUUAUCCAGAACUUGGUUAUAAAACGCUCGAAGAAGCAAGAAUCUGUUAAUAUGCAAGAAAGAAUACGUGCGUGUAAAAACGUCACUUUUUUCAGACGUUACAGAACAUUGCGAUCAAAUCGAUGGGGUUCAUCACGAUGAAGACUUGUUGAUUCUUAUGAGUCAAGCCACCGGGUUCACGAAGCGCAGCCUUGC